ACUUGGGUUUGAUGCUUCGAAUAUUCAGUGGUCAAAUUUGGCUCUUGUUGAAAAUAUAUAGUUGCCUCAAGAUCUCAAUAUUAGAAAAUAUAAUUGUCCUCGGCACCAGUGUUCGAAUUUGCCUAUUUUUGCAAUGCUAUUUUUCCCUUGGGUUUAUGAUGAUAUUUUAGGGUUGGCAUUUUUGUAUUGAACCAUUGAUGUUUGUCUAGGCAUGUUGUGAAGAAUUAGCGUUAGGUUUUUCUUUGUUUCAGGACUCUGAUUUGUGUUUUUCUUCUCUCUGAACUGAUCUGGUUUGCAUAAUUGGUCUCAAUUUGAAGUAUUU
rnacentral:lncRNA from 1 species